GGAUCUCUUAAAGCUGUUCUCAGUUCGGACUGCAGUCUGCAACUCGACUGCACGAAGCUGGAAUCGCUAGUAAUCGCGGAUCAGCACGCCGCGGUGAAUACGUUCCCGGGCCUUGUACACACCGCCCGUCACACCAUGGAAGUCUGCAAUGCCCGAAGCCGGUGGCCUAACCACUUAUGUGGAAGGAGCCGUCUAAGGCAGGGCAGAUGACUGGGGUGAAGUCGUAACAAGGUAUC
rnacentral:rRNA from 1 species